rnacentral:lncRNA from 1 species
UCUCUAAACCUUUCUGAAAUAAAUGUCAGGUUAAGUAAGUUACAAAUGUCUCCACUUCAAAUCUGGACCUAGAGACCAAAUGCAGGACAACAUAGUUCUUUUUCCUCCUAGAUGGAAAUGAACUUUUUGCUUUAUUUAAAUCUCCAGCAGCCUUGCUUUUUCUGCAGUCCAAAAGAGAGCAUUAAAAUAGGACACACAAAUAUUUCAUGUUGACACUUGGUUCCUUUGUGAACACUAACUAGUAAAGAUCGAUGAUAACAAUAUAGGCUUGCUCUGCAAACCAUCUGGUGGAAUACACUGAAGCUGUUAGGAAUGGCCAUUAAGUUUCACACACACAGAAGGUCCAUCUUUGUGAUCCUUCUCAAAUAGUUCUGGGGUAAUCCAAUGCUCUUCUUUUUCAGUUCCAAGUGGAUGAGAAUUGCUGGGCUUCAUCUGUCAGAGAAAGCCUUAUACUUCAGUUUAGAGAAGAAAGCAAUUUAUUGUUUCAAGAGACAGACCCACAUUAAAUUUAUCCAGCUGUCCAAGGUCAAGGUGGAGGUUCUCAUCCAUACCAAAGACUUACCAUGGAAUGCAGCAACUCAAAGCAAAACUACAGGUUGGCUACAGGUAUAAACCAAUUUUCAGUGUUCUGAAGUGAUGGCUAUAUCCUUGUUGGCUCCAUGUUUAUUUUUCAGAAUGCCUGUCUGGCCUAGUUUCUAUAUCAGUCUCUAAGCUCCCAUGGUCAUAUCCCCUGAAAUAUUUAUCAAAGUCUUUUUAUAAGCAGAGACUUUACUGAGAGAUUUUCAAUAUCAGUAGAGUGAGCAGAUUAUCAAUUAAAAUCAGAGUUUGCAAAUCCAUUUUUGGCAGAGUCACAGACUAUAUUCUUUUUAAUGUAUGACUAGACCUCUAAGAAGAAAUGGAAAUCUCUUAGGUCCUUACCCUACCACCAAAGCUGUAAGAAGUCAGCAAAUUUAAAGGAAAGGUUUCCCUAAGAGCCAAUCUGAACAGCAACAGUGAAAUCUAGAGACCGCUUCUGGGGACAGCAGCAAAGUAGAAGAAUUGAAUCGGAAACACUUACAACAAAGCAAGAAACCAUCAAAAGAAGACAACUGUGAGAAUCCCCACUCCAGUACUCUUGCCUGGAAAAUCCCAUGGACAGGGGAGCUUCGCUGGCUACAGUCCACAGGAUCACAAAGACAUGACUAAAGCAAUUUAGCACACAUGUCCAUAUCUAGGUAUAUGGUAGUGAAAACACAGACUACCAGACUAUCAAGACCAAAGAGAAGACAAUUAAGCGGCCAAGGAGAAAACAAAAGAUCACACAAGGUUCGCAGCAAACUUCUCAGUCCUAAAAGAAGCCAGAAAAGAGUGGAAUAAUCUCUUCAAAUAGUUGAGACAAAAUUGCUAAACCUAGAAUUGCAUAUCCAGACUUUCAAUAAGAAACUCCUAAAUAAAGUGGUCAUAAAGGUAAGAAAAAAUGAGCAAAUUAAAUUAUUAACACAUGUAUAAAUCUAAUCUAAAAUUAUCUUAUAAAAUAUUAAAAAUGACAAUAAUGUCAAAUGUAGGGGUUUAAGAGGACAGAAAUAGUGGACAGAAAGUACAAGUUGGGAGUGAGUAUGUGAUCAGAGUUAAAAUGUUCUGAAGUUCUUCAAUCAAAGGAGUUUUCUUAAAAAGAGAGAGACUGAGAAAACACAGAACUAGCAUUGAUCAUGUUAUAGAACUGAAGCUGGAUAGUACAUUACUAGCAUGCUUAUAAUUUACAUAUAGGUUACAAAUGUUCUUCAUAAGUCUUUUCAUUAGUUCUUGAAAAAACUAAUUUUGCAAAAAGAGCUUUGUUAAAAUAAUGUUUUCUUCCUGGUGCACAAUGGGCCCAGAGAAUAAACAAGCUUUUUGGUGUCCGCAUUCUCCUUCAAGACUCUGCUAAGCUCCUCCACUUAAUCUGUUUAUUUAGGAACAUGGACUAACAUAAUGAGUUAAAAAUGGUGGAGACUCAUUUAGUUACACUUUUUUUUUUUCUUCUUACCUGAUAACAGCAUCCUCUAGAUUAGCAGGGAUCAAGUGAGAUUUGUGCUUGCAAAAUAGAAAAUUAGCUGCAUGGAAUACAUUACCAAGUAUCAGCAGUUUCUAGGCAGAGGACGAUUUCACAGACACAGGAACUAAAAACCCUGUUAUAUCAGAGCAUGGAUGAGAGAAACAUAAGCAGCAUUUUUGCUGUUUGUAUUAAUAGUUAAAUAUGUUACUAUGUGUAUGGGAAUUGUUGGGGUACAUAUCCCCAAAAUUGCAAUCCAACAUUAACAGGUGGACAUGAAUGACAUUAGGAAAUAGAUAUGGUAGUGAAUAUGUUUAAAAUAUAGCUGUGUUAUGGAGGUUUAUACAUCUGUGUGUCUGAAUAUAGUUUUAGCUGUUUUUACAUGAGAGCUAAUAGCACCCUAUUAUAUACAUAUACUGAAGAUAGAGCUUGAGGUAGAAUUCUGUGUGCUGUAAAGGCUGAAAUAUGGGAGUUUAUUUACAUGGGAAGAUAUUAGACUGUGUGUAUGUAUUUGAGCAUUGUAAUAUUUUGUACCUCCACUUAGUUUAUCUUUUUAAAUGGCCAAAUUAUAUUUUAUUAGGAAUUUUGUUGCAGGAAGCCAGGUGUCAAUGUCUUUAUUCCUCUAAAUAUGAAGAAAGCAAAGGUCCUUGUUGAACCAAUAAGCAUAUUGAACCUGUCCCCAAAUGUUAAUGAGAACAUUAAUUCACUUAAUAUGCUGGGUAACUGCUCUGCCUCAGCUCAAUUAUUUCUACAAGCUGC